GUAGUUUGAAGAAUAGGUUUAUCUUUUGAGGAAUUUAAAGUUAAUUCUAAAUGUAUUAACAUAGAAUAUUGGUUGAAUUUUAAGAGAACACACCGAUUAGAUAUUAAUGGAUUUGUUUUCACGCGAUUCAGAAGGACGAAUAAAUAUUUUUAUUGAAGCUAUGUGCAGAUAUAACUUCAGCACGAGUUCUAUAUUUGCGGAAAAAGACUUGUGAAGAAAAAAGAUUUAAAGAUUUAAGUUAUCAUCAUGGCGUUCAGCGAGGAAGAGUGCAAGGUUCUCCAUGAAAGUCAGAGCUGGUCCAAUGUACUACAAUGAUCGUGGACAACUAAUACAUAAUAAUUAUAUUUAUUCAUUUAAAUCGGUAAAGGCGGAAACUUGCU